rnacentral:rRNA from 1 species
CCAGCGCCCCGAGUUGUCGGGACGAUUAUUGGGCCUAAAGCAUCCGUAGCCUGUUCUGCAAGUCCUCCGUUAAAUCCACCUGCUCAACGAAUGGGCUGCGGAGGAAACCGCAGAGCUAGGAGGCGGGAGAGGCAAACGGUACUCAGUGGGUAGGGGUAAAAUCCAUUGAUCUACUGAAGACCACCAGUGGCGAAGGCGGUUUGCCAGAACGCGCUCGACGGUGAGGGAUGAAAGCUGGGGGAGCAAACCGGAUUAGAUACCCGGGUAGUCCCAGCUGUAAACGAUGCAGACUCGGUGAUGGGUUGGCUUCGAGCCAACCCAGUGCCGCAGGGAAGCCGUUAAGUCUGCCGCCUGGGGAGUACGGUCGCAAGACUG